GUGGGGAAUAUUGGACAAUGGGCGAAAGCCUGAUCCAGCCAUGCCGCGUGUGUGAAGAAGGUCUUCGGAUUGUAAAGCACUUUAAGUUGGGAGGAAGGGCAGUAAGUUAAUACCUUGCUGUUUUGACGUUACCAACAGAAUAAGCACCGGCUAACUUCGUGCCAGCAGCCGCGGUAAUACGAAGGGUGCAAGCGUUAAUCGGAUUUACUGGGCGUAAAGCGCGCGUAGGUGGUUUUGUAAGUUGGAGGUGAAAUCCCCGGGCUCAACCUGGGAACUGCCUCCAAAACUGCAUGACUAGAGUACGGUAGAGGGUAGUGGAAUUUCCUGUGUAGCGGUGAAAUGCGUAGAUAUAGGAAGGAACACCAGUGGCGAAGGCGACUACCUGGACUGAUACUGACACUGAGGUGCGAAAGCGUGGGGAGCAAACAGGAUUAGAAACCCUGGUAGUCC
rnacentral:rRNA from 1 species